GAAACAGUUGCUAAGACUGGAUAGGAAAUUAGAAGGCAUCUUUUAAUUUUUAAAAGACCUUUUUCGAAAGGUAUACUUAAAGAGGGGCUUGCGGCACAUUAGUUAGUUGGUAGGGUAAAAGCCUACCAAGACCAUGAUGUGUAGCUGGACUGAGAGGUUGAACAGCCACAUUGGGACUGAGACACGGCCCAAACUCCUACGGGAGGCAGCAGUAGGGAAUUUUCGGCAAUGGAGGAAACUCUGACCGAGCAACGCCGCGUGAACGAUGAAGUAUUUCGGUAUGUAAAGUUCUUUUAUUGGAGAAGAAAAAAUAGUGGAAAAACUAUCUUGACGAUAUUCAAUGAAUAAGCCCCGGCAAACUAUGUGCCAGCAGCCGCGGUAAUACAUAGGGGGCGAGCGUUAUCCGGAAUUAUUGGGCGUAAAGGGUGCGUAGGCGGUUUGGUAAGUCUAUAGUUUAAUUUCAGUGCUUAACACUGUUCUGCUAUAGAAACUAUCAGACUAGAGUGAGAUAGAGGCAAGUGGAAUUCCAUGUGUAGCGGUAAAAUGCGUAAAUAUAUGGAGGAACACCAGAGGCGUAGGCGGCUUGCUGGGUCUUUACUGACGCUGAGGCACGAAAGCGUGGGGAGCAAACAGGAUUAGAUACCCUGGUAGUCCACGCCGUAAACGAUGAGUACUAAGUGUCGGGGAAACUCGGUACUGAAGUUAACACAUUAAGUACUCCGCCUGAGUAGUACGUACGCAAGUAUGAAACUUAAAGGAAUUGACGGGACUCCGCACAAGCGGUGGAUCAUGUUGUUUAAUUCGAAGAUACACGAAAAACCUUACCAGGUCUUGACAUACUCUGCAAAGCUAUAGCAAUAUAGUGGAGGUUAUCAGGGAUACAGGUGGUGCAUGGUUGUCGUCAGCUCGUGUCGUGAGAUGUUAGGUUAAGUCCUAAAACGAGCGCAACCCUUGUCACUAGUUGCCAGCAUGUUAUGAUGGGCACUUUAGUGAGACUGCCAAUGAAAAAUUGGAGGAAGGUGAGGAUCACGUCAAAUCAUCAUGCCCCUUAUGAUCUGGGCUACAAACGUGAUACAAUGGCUGUUACAAAGAGUAGCUAAAACGCGAGUUUAUAGCCAAUCUCAUAAAAGCAGUCUCAGUUCGGAUUGAAGUCUGCAACUCGACUUCAUGAAGUUGGAAUCGCUAGUAAUCGCGAAUCAGCAUGUCGCGGUGAAUACGUUCUCGGGGUUUGUACACACCGCCCGUC
rnacentral:rRNA from 7 species